rnacentral:rRNA from 1 species
AGCGCCCUCCUAACUUAUUCUCUAGGGGGCAGAGGAUAGCCAGUAUAAGGAUUUUCGGCAAUGGAGGAAAGGUUCUGAUCCCAAAGCAACGUCCGCGUGAAAUGAAAAAGGGUUUUCGGAUCGUUAAACUCUGUUGUUAGAGAAAGAUCAAGGGUGAGAAGUAACUGUUCCCCCCCUUUACGGUAUUUUAACCAGAAAAACCACGGCUAACUACGUUCCAGCAGCCGCGGUAAUACGGUAGGUGGCCAAACGUUGUCCGAAUUAUUGGCGUAAAACGAGCGCAGGCGGUUUUUUAAGUUUGAUGUGAAAACCCCCGGCUCAACCGGGGAGGGUCAUUGAAACUGGGAGACUUGAGUGCAGAAGAGGAGAGUGGAAUUCCAUGUGUAGCGGUGAAAUGCGUAGAUAUAUGGAGGAACACCAGUGGCGAAGGCGGCUCUCUGGUCUGUAACUGACGCUGAGGCUUGAAAGCGUGGGGAGCAAACAGGAUUAGAUACCCUGGUAGUCCACGCCGUAAACGAUGAGUGCUAAGUGUUGGAGGGUUUCCGCCCUUCAGUGCUGCAGCUAACGCAUUAAGCACUCCGCCUGGGGAGUACGACCGCAAGGUUGAAACUCAAAGGAAUUGACGGGGGCCCGCACAAGCGGUGGAGCAUGUGGUUUAAUUCGAAGCAACGCGAAGAACCUUACCAGGUCUUGACAUCCUUUGACCACUCUAGAGAUAGAGCUUCCCCUUCGGGGGCAAAGUGACAGGUGGUGCAUGGUUGUCGUCAGCUCGUGUCGUGAGAUGUUGGGUUAAGUCCCGCAACGAGCGCAACCCUUAUUGUUAGUUGCCAUCAUUUAGUUGGGCACUCUAGCAAGACUGCCGGUGACAAACCGGAGGAAGGUGGGGAUGACGUCAAAUCAUCAUGCCCCUUAUGACCUGGGCUACACACGUGCUACAAUGGGAAGUACAACGAGUCGCGAAGUCGCGAGGCUAAGCUAAUCUCUUAAAGCUUCUCUCAGUUCGGAUUGUAGGCUGCAACUCGCCUACAUGAAGCCGGAAUCGCUAGUAAUCGCGGAUCAGCACGCCGCGGUGAAUACGUUCCCGGGCCUUGUACACACCGCCCGUCACACCACGAGAGUUUGUAACACCCGAAGUCGGUGAGGUAACCUUUUGGAGCCAGCCGCCUAAAGA